GGCGGCGCCAUUUUGGAUGGAAGCUGGGGGAGCGAUCGUGCCGUGACCCUGGCGGUGUUUCUGAAGACUUCACGCUUCCAGGCCCACUUAAAUGGAUCACGUCCGUGGGAGCACCCAGCGCGGUUACUGGCCUUCCCCCAACGAAGAUCAGCAGUGAGCAGUUGGUUCUGAAUUCAAAUUCUGCAUUAAUUCAGGCUUUUCUACGAAGGCGUACUUUUUUUUCUAGUUCCUGGAAAUUGUCAAUAUUUUCCUUUUUAGCUUAUAUGUAGCCCGGAAAACUCAAGUUAAACUUAAAAGUGAAUUGUGAUUAUUUAUAUAUUUUUAAUUAUUAAACCUUUAUAUUUAUAUUCAUUUGUGAAGGCAAUUUGUAUCUUUAACGACGUUUUUAGUUUCUCCAGCGUUGUUUGAUUUUAGACAAUAUAUGCUGUGGAGCUUAAAUAAAAUAUGCUGUAAAUUCGGC